AACGAACGCUGGCGGCGUGCUUAACACAUGCAAGUCGAACGGAAAGGCCCUGCUUGCAGGGUACUCGAGUGGCGAACGGGUGAGUAACACGUGGGUGAUCUGCCCUGCACUUCGGGAUAAGCCUGGGAAACUGGGUCUAAUACCGGAUAGGAGCCAUUUUUAGUGUGAUGGUUGGAAAGUUUUUUGGGUGUAGGAUGAGCUCGCGGCCUAUCAGCUUGUUGGUGGGGUAAUGGCCUACCAAGGCGGCGACGGGUAGCCGGCCUGAGAGGGUGGACGGCCACAUUGGGACUGAGAUACGGCCCAGACUCCUACGGGAGGCAGCAGUGGGGAAUAUUGCACAAUGGGCGCAAGCCUGAUGCAGCGACGCCGCGUGGGGGAUGACGGCCUUCGGGUUGUAAACUCCUUUCGCUAGGGACGAAGCUUUUUGUGACGGUACCUAGAUAAGAAGCACCGGCUAACUACGUG
rnacentral:rRNA from 1 species